rnacentral:rRNA from 1 species
CAGCCUGCAACCCGGCCGUAUGAAGCUGGAAUCGCUAGUAAUCGCAGAUCAGAAUGCUGCGGUGAAUACGUUCCCGGGUCUUGUACACACCGCCCGUCACACCAUGGGAGCCAGGAAUGCCCGAAGCCAGUGGCCUAACCGCAAGGGAGGAGCUGUCGAAGGCAGGCCCGGUAACUGGGGUGAAGUCGUAACAAGGUAAC